rnacentral:lncRNA from 1 species
AAUAAAAAGACUGAAAACUAAUAAACUAAGUAUGAUUAAACCGGAAGUCGGAAAGAAAAAGUUGAAAGGUAACCGUGCUCAUCUAAAUUAUUGAACUGUACUAGUGGUAUAAAAACAAGAGCUGACACUAAUAGCUUGAAACUUGAUUCACACAAGGCGUGUAUACUCCGGGUAAAGUCCUCUUCCUCCUGCUCCGCUUCUAGAUGAUGAUGAUGAUGGUGAGCAAGCAAAUCAAGAGAAAAUGGAGAACCGAGGCCCAUGCAUUCAAUUUUUAAUAAUUAUUUUGUCCAUGCAUUCAAUUUUUUUAUAAUUUUUUAUUGUGUUGUGCGCCAGAAACCAUGUAGCCUGAUUUAAGUCAUAUUUUUUAAAUAAAUUUUUGUUAGUUUUUUAAUUAAUUAUUUUAUCUUUCUUUGUGCCACAACUCGACGGUCAUAGACACACAACAUGGGCAAUACAGGUAUUUUACUGUGUGAAGCAGGCAGCAAAACGGUAAUGGAACGAAAAAAUCAGGGGCAUUUUCGCCCUUUUACUAUUUCAUAUUAAGAUACAUGAAUGAUUUAAUAAUAUAUAUUUAUAUGGGAUGUAUUUAACAAUAUGUAGGUACUAAUAAAAAAACCUUUACCAUUACCAUCGUCAAUCUUCAAACAUAGUUCUGUGGUCCAAUUAGAGUUCCAUGUUUACUAUUCUACAAAUCAGGACAUGGAGUUAGCGUGGUCAUAUUGAAGACUAAUAAUAUUCAAAAAUUCCAAUCGUCAACUCCACGCUUGUCGGGAAGACUAAUAAUGUUCUCUAGAGAUGACUUGAGGGUUAUGCUCAAGAGAAUGAAUAUGAUGCUGGCUUUGAUGGAAAUUAAAAUUAAAACUAUCAAACUCUUGUUCCAAGGCUCUAAUUAAUUUUUCAUGAUCUAACCUCAUGCUUGGCUGCUUUAUCUGGAUAUUCCAAAAAUUAUCUAAGAGAACCUGUUGCCUAUCAGAAAACCCUGGUGCUCUUAACCUAUAUCUCAGGAUUGGAUUUCUAAUUCCUUCAACAAUAUUGCCAUUAAAGUUGAAAGUAGGUACUGGUGGUGAUCCUGGUCUGCUUAUGCUACUUUGAAAUCCACUGAAUGGUGGAGGUUGAUGGUGCAUCAUUAUGCUAUUGAAAGAAGCUCUUCUGCCUUGCGGCCUUGUGUUAUUUGCUGAUGAUGAUUCACGAUAUUUCAUACAUGUUCAACAAAUUAAUCCACUGAAUGAUGGAGGUUGAUGGUGCAUCAUUAUGCUUGUGAUAUUUAUUUCUAGGAAACAAAUAGAAAACGAAGAGCGGAAAGGAUGACGAUGACGCAGAACCUACCUCUUCCUUCUUCAAUCUGUGUGUGGUUUCCUUUCACUAAAUCUCACACCCACCGACAACAACCCAUCUCAAUCUGAUCCAAACACCAAUGCCAACCAACCACUGCCAUACUUUAAAAAUGAAUAAAAUACCCACCCCUUGGAUUUGAUUGGAAAAUAGGCAAUAGAGUAAUUUGCCCGUGUUAAACCCAAGCCCAGCUUACACCCCACAACCCACUUCGGCAAAAUAUGACAAUACAAAAAUCCAAAUGACACAGGAUUUAUACUGGUUCGGCGUAAGCCUACGUCCAGUUCCGAGACGGCGAGAAAAUUCCACUAAUAUCAAAAGGAGAUUACAAAUUGAUGUUUUAACUCUCAAACCCAAAGCCCACAUACACCCAAUAGCUCUCACUCUCACAAAGAAACAAAUGGAGAAGAUAGAAACAUAUACCAAAUUCCUCCUCUCCCAAAAGCCACAAAAUGUAGCACAAAUAUCUUUGAUUGAGUGAUCACUAACAAAGGGGGAUUACAAACAAAUGGGAAGGAGCAGCACUGUUUCAAAUGGGAGAGUCGAAUGCUCUCUCCUCUGCUCUACUUGCUCUCUUCAGAAAAUGAGUUCACACCUUUCCUUUAAAUAAAAAUCAGCCCCUUUUCUUCUCCUCCUUUCUUCCAGCCGAAAACCAACUAAUUAUGGCUUUGAAAAAACCACAAAACACGGAACAAAACAAGCCACAAAACAAGGAACAAAACAAGCCACAAAACAAGGAAACAUAAUCCUCAUCAUGAUGUUCCCUCAUCAAUUUUCUUUCAUUCUUUUGUUUUGUUUCCUAGCCUAAUUUGGCCACUAUCCAACAUAUGGAACUACACGUCGAAGUAGAUUUGAUCUUCCAGGCAUUCUUAAACUUUUCCGCUAUGUCGAAUAUAGGUUUGUGCCUUUCCUCUCUAAAUCUGCAACAGCCAGAACUGCUUUCACAUUCACACUACAGCACAAUAGAAGACACUUCGACACGACAAUCUGUUAAAUUAGCAAAUGGGGAAGUGGUGGAAUAACACCGUAGUAUUGUGAGCAAGUCUCGGGUGUCAAGGCCACGGGGGACGUCCCUGUGGCUUUUCAACAAAUUAACCAAACAAUGUUGUAAAAACUGACUUUGAGAGUGAGGAACAGUAAAAGGUAGGUGCUUUGGCCCUCCUCCACGCAUCAUAUACCGACGAAAAGAGUACAUGUUGUCUAUAGAUUUCCUCAGGAUUGACAAAAAUACAGAAGAAAACCACCAGCUAGACAAAAUUGACACAAGUCCUCGGCCUGCUCCGCUUCAAGAUCAUGACGAUGAUAAUGAUGAUGGUGAUGAGCAGUUGUCAUCAGGUGCAGCAGGUUGUUGUGCAUGAUCUUGGUUAGGGUACUCACUACGCAUCAUCUCUCCUCCAAUAUGAUCAAAGAUAUUCGCAAUCAAGUCCUCAUAAUCAUCUCAUUCAACUGUUGUUCUUUGCCCCGUCUCGAUCUCAUCUGCAACAGAGGCCGCAGCAGCAGCAGCAGGAUCAGACAGGAGAUCAAACUCUCCCAUCAAGGCUUCCAAAUUGAAUCUCAAAAGAUCAUCAUCAUCUUUUCUCUCACUGCCUCUCUAUCUGACCCUGCAGUGCAGCAGGGCAGACGCCUAACAAACUGCAAAACCACAAUCAACACUUUGAAGAACUCUUCAAAAUGAGAUAAUUUUAAUACAGUCCACCACUUCAAACCAAAAAGUGCAUACAUAGACAAGAUGAAACAACAAAUAUGCCACAAAUUGAAGCAUGAAAAGGCAAGCAUACCUUGCCUGCAGAUGAUAUACUAUCGAAGGGAGGAACAGCCCUCCUUGCAAUAUAUACUUCUUGACUUUACAUAAAUUUGAAGGUCAAUAUUGUAGAAUAACAAACAAGAGUAUAAAGCAUAGAAGGAAGCGUUGUUCAAUUCGACAAGGUAAGACUUUUCUGAAAUCUAAAAUCACGACCAUCAUCGUGCACUAUCUUAAUACCUGACGUGGAAAACAGGAAAUUGAUGACCCUUUGCAAAUUUUGAAUAAUUUGAUAAUUUAUAUUACUUAUUCAUCUUAGUGUGUCUCUAUGCAUGUCAAACGAUAACAAACAUCAGAAAUGCAGUUGAAGGCAUUUCUUUCAAAUGAUCAAAAUGACAGUCAAAUAUGGGCUGUGAGGAUUGUCAUGCUCUCACAAAUGCGACAUACAUAAUAUCAGAAACAUCAACAGCUACUGAAACUGAAAACCUAAGAGACAGUAGCUUCAAAAACUAGUCCUACAUGAUGAAGAAAUCCACACCAAAAGAAAGUACACAGGAAACAGCAUGUGAGCUCUGCAUCCUACCUCGUACUUAAAGAGAUGCAAUUUGUAAAGAAAGAAUAAAGUGCUUCAAUUUUUUAGAAUCACGACCAUCCCGUUGAGCAGAGAAAUUAAAGAACUAAUAGGGAAUCGACGUGAAAACGAAGUACUGGUUGUCGACUACCUGACGCCCUCCCCCUCCUCCUUUAUCCGGGCUUGGGACCGGUAGCGUAAGAUAAACUUACACGGGCGGAGUUAGAAAAUCAAAGAACUGUAAAAAGAAAAUCAGUUAUGGACAAGAUGUCAAGACCAAUAGAACUGUAAAAGCAAAACAGUCCAAAAACACAACUGAGGACAACAGCGAGAAACUUGCAUUGCUGGUCCAAAACAGAACUGACACAUCUAAUAUAGACUAAGGUAUGAAUACUAAAAAAUAAAGAGAGAAAACUUACAUUCCACAAAAAAUCCAUAAAAACAGUGGCAAGAAACAUGAUAAUUGUCCUUAUCAUCAACAAAACUAUCAACACGUUCACAAACUGACACUGAACACUUACACACCAUGUUACCAUCAAAAUUCAAGCACAAUACACAGAACCUGCACACGCUCACAAGCCACACAUGCAGAGGGAGUAAUUCAAAGGAAAAGAAAACAUUAAUUUGGUUUUCAAAUUUAGUAUAGUAAUUAAAAUCAUCAACCUUGAAACCUUCUGUCAAUUAAAAUAAAAAGAAAGUAAGAAACUUGGGUCGAAAAGAAAUGAAUUAUAAAGCAUUCAGUGCAUUAAAAUUGGAAACGAUCCUAGAAGCACAUGCAUACAGAUGACUAGGGGAAACGCAGUAGAGACCUGAGGUGCAGCAAAAUGAAAGGCAGGCAAUGGAUCAGACCUAUACCAAAUUUCUUAAUUAACUAAUGAACCAAAAGAAAUCAAAGCAUAUAUACUAAGAAUGGAAAUAAAAUAUAUCCUGAUCAUAACUGUGCUUCUAUAUGCACGCCAUGGAAAUUAGACAGCUGCCAUCACGUAUACAUCCCUCUAUUGAUCAUUCACAGAAUCGCUCAUCCACAAACAGUCUGUCCAGUAAUUGAACCCGUCUAACGGUUGGCUGAAUUCGUCAAUUUGAGGCCACUCCCGGGGCAAUUUACCUUCAAGCGUUGUCAACCAUUCUUUAAUGUCUCCACGCACUGCUUCACCAUCUAAAGGAUAUUCCUCGCCGCCCAAGAAUACCGGAGAAGAAGGAACAUCACUCAUCAGUGGCACAUAUUCAUGACCUGAAAUAUGAGUGGGAAUGGGCAUCACAUUUCCGUUAAUGUAGCUUAUGCACCCCUGGUCGUGAUUGGUAGUGUCGCCGUCCAAGCAUAUGGGAUAAGAAGGAACAUCACUCAUCAAUAUCACACUAUCCUGAUCAGAGAAAUCAGUCGGCUUUGCAUUGCCGUUAAUGUUGGUUAUGCACUCCUGAUCCCAAUACCUAGUGUCAGUAAUCAUAUUGCUUUCAGUUCCAACAAAAGGCACAACAGCAGGGGUAUUGGUGAUCACAUUCACAUUAGAAUGUUUUUGUGAACCCGGUUCUUUUCUUGCUCUCUUUCUCUUAAUCAGCAGCUUCUCAUUCGAUACUUCUUUUAUUGCCCUCUUAAUCGGUGGCUUCUCAUUGAAGUCAUGAGUUGGACUUGAGGAAUUCAUCUUGUUUCCGCACCUAGACCUCGGAUUCCUUUUAAGUCGCGAAAGAACGACCUUUGGGGCCAGCAACCACACAUUAGGAAGAAGACUGUACUCUUCUAACAGCCAGCCGCCAUUGUUGUUAGAACCCUUGUUGUUAUACCUGAAAUGCCUUUUAUCCCCGAUUGGAAUUCCGUCCAAACCUAAAACUUUGUCGGAGGAUGUUUCGCUCCAAGUGCCUCCGGCUUCGAUCUGGCGUUUGCUGCGGCUAUCGCUGUCGCUUCUAGAACGCAGCUCAUAGAAGAAGAACAAGUCCUGAUCGAGUAGGGAAUUUCCACCGAAUUGCUCCCAAACCACCCAGGGUGGUGUUUGUCCAAAGAGAUUGAACUCGUGAACAAACGGGUUGCCUAAGGGCUUUCCGGAGAGGGCUCUAUCGCGAAGAUAGGAACUGACCAAUUCUUGAUCAGUAGGAUGAAACCGAAAACCCAAUGGCAUACCGUAAUAACCCACCUCCAUUGUUAAACGCGAUUUCAAUUCAAUGCAAUUCAAAACAAAACAAAUGCAGCAGCAAAAACCCUAAAUUUUUCUUGGGCACAAAAUAAAGAAGAGAAAAUAAGCGAGAAAUUAAAGAUAAGAAAAAGGGAAACCUGGAAGCCAAUUUCGCUCGCUCGCCGAGGAGAGCAGCUCGUCGACGUCUCCUCAAUCGCCGUCUUCGUCCCCAAACAAGAGCAACUGAAGAGGAAUCGAUUUCGAGUAUUCUGUAAUUCAAUUCAACCGGAGACUGUUGGAGCACUGAAUUCUAGUUCUGGUUCAAAUUCGAACGCGCAGAGAGAGCGAGAGAGAGAACGCAGAGAGAGCGAGAGAGAAAGAUCUUGAGAGAGAGAUCUAGAGAGAGAGAGGAUUUGAAAUUUAAACGGAAGAAAAUAUGACCGUUUGGUUUGGGAAUUGGAUGUUAACGUCGCAAACUUGCAAGGCUCACCGCUUAAGCGCGGGAUUACGUGGCAUUUUCAUAUCUACGAAACCCUAAAUCCCCAAAUUGUGGAAUCUGGAUUCUCGCCAGAUUCUUUUUAUGAGGAUCCAGAAAAUUCAUGAAUCAUAUCGAUUUAUUGUACAUCGUGUGGUCAAAAAUUAUUUUAAAUAUUUUUAUUUAAAAUUAAACAAACAGUACUUGACAAAAACUGACUGUAUAAUAUAAGAUAAACGAACAUAAUUUACGGAUCCUCAGUAUCCUUACCAAAAUGAUCCGGAGAGGAUCCUGUUGGCAAAUUGUGAGCCAAAUGACUAGAAUAACGCAGGAAAAAAAAAAGAAUUUCGAUUGGGCUGGGUUCCCUUUUUUACUUCUUGGCCUAUUUUUUAUUCAGCUGGGUUCUUUUGGUUUUCCGGCAUUCUAUUGGCAAUUUUUUUUUAGAUUUUUAUAUUAGAUUAAUGAACCCAAACAUUUAAGGGUGAAUGUUGGAUUGAAAGUUUCGAUUUCGACAUGAAAAAGAUUUGUUUCGUAUUUUUAUUAACAUAGCAUUGCAUGAUUGACACGAGAAGUCAUAGUCACGAUGUACUAAUGUCAUAAAAAUUGCUCAAUAUGGAUAUAUUUCGCAAUAGGAAAUCGUGACUAUGACUUAAACAUAAGAAAUCAUAGGAAAUCACGAUUUUUUUUAUUUCCUAUGUCUAACCUACAGUCACGAAUUCCUAUGAUUGACACAAGAAGCCAUAAUCACAAUGUUCACAUGGCGCUGCAUAUACAUUUUUCAUAGAAGUGACAAGAUUUUCUCCCAACUCUAAUGCACCUUUAUGUUCUUCCUAUCCAAAACUAUGUUGGAGAAGAUUUCAUAAGAAACACGUCCAGAAUCCGUCAUUACCAGAUUGAUUAUUCAUGAAACGAAAUGUAGAGGUCGAAACAAACAGUGAAAAACUGAGUACUACUGUUCGCUACGACAACAAUGUCUGAAAAUUGAAACAAAAACUCAAAGUGUGCUGAAAGAAAUGACAAGAACAAAAGUAAGUGCAAUCAAAAGUAUUGGGAACUUCAUGUAUAUUCAUAUGUAUAUUGUCUACAGAUUUCCUCAAGAUUGACAAAAGUACAGAGUAAGACCACCAGCUAGACGAAAUAACAAACUGAAAACUAUUCUAUCCACAACAACAACAAAGCAUUUUCCCACUAAGUGGGGUCGGCUAUAUGAAUCCUAGAAUGUCAUUGCGCUCGGUUCUGUAUCACGUCUUCCGUGUAAAUAAAAAGACCGAAAACUAAUAAACUAACUAUGAUUAAACCGGAAGUCGGAAAAAAAAAAGCUGAAAGGUAACCGUGCUCAUCUGAAUUCUUGAACUCUACAAGUAGUAUAAAAACAAGAGCUGACGCUAAUAGCUUGACAACUUGAUUCACGAAAGGCGUGUAUACUCCGUGUAAAGUCCUCUUCCUCCUGCUCCGCUUCUA